UCUGCCGGUGAUGGUUCUAAAUAUACUUUGAGAGAUUCCUUCUCUUUGAAAAGAAAACGAAUCUGAGGCAUU